GCUAAAAUAUAAGAAGUCUGUCUGUUACAAUUUUGUAACUCAUAUAUAAAGAGAGAUAAUUCGAAAAAUGUUGGCUAAGACAAAGAUUUUAUUUAUGAAUUAAUCGAUUUAUGCCACUAGAUGCUUAUCUAAUUAGUUCUUUUACUAUACUUUCAAAAGCAAAAGGACAUUGUGCCGCCCGUUAACUUUCCGGAAAUGGCAGAAAUCUACGACAGUGGGAGUAGAGAAGAUUGACAGAGGAUGUUUACGGCAUGAUAGAGCUACAACCGAAUACACAUACCCUAGAGACAAAGCAAGAAAGACAGCAAAAUCAGUCCUUGCCUCGGGUGAGCCAACAACUCGAGCAAACUGGAGAGAGAGAGAUUAGUUGAAUAAGCAUAAGAAUAAGGGGUCCCGCGUCUAUGUCCAAACCAUGCUCCCCCCGAACUCUCCCACUUCCUUCUUCUUCGGUUGUCAAUGAAGAGUUCGGGGACUUUCCCGUGAAUGUAUGAGCCCUACCUGCGCCCUCCUCGCUGGCUAGAACACUAAGCCACUCCUUUCGAAGUAUGGUUGCUAAAAUCCUCUUUGUUUGUUUGUCUUUUUCUAUUCAGGGACGAAUUAAUUUGUGCAAGUUAGCGGCUUGAUACAAGGAAGACAAUAAUUGCUAAUCGACAAAAGAAAAGAGGUGCAGUCUUUAAAUUUGCACUUUAAUCUUUUCUUACGACAAUAAAGAAAAUUUGUCAUGUGGUCGGUAAGGC
rnacentral:lncRNA from 1 species